rnacentral:rRNA from 1 species
CGGAGGGCGCGAGCGUUGUCCGGAAUCACUGGGCGUAAAGGGCGCGUAGGCGGCUCGAUAAGGCUUGCGUGAAAGUCCGGGGCUCAACCCCGGAUCGGCGCGGGCGACUGUUGGGCUGGAGCACGGUAGGGGCAGACGGAAUUCCGGGUGUAGCGGUGGAAUGCGUAGAGAUCCGGAAGAACACUGGUGGCGAAGGCGGUCUGCUGGGCCGGAAGGGGGCAGAGCAAUCUGUCCCCGUGCUGACGCUGAGGCGCGACAGCGUGGGGAGCAAACAGGAUUAGAUACCCUGGUAGUCCACGCCGUAAACGAUGGGCACUAGGUGCCCGGGGGAGCGACCCUCCGGGUGCCGGCGCUAACGCAUAAGUGCCCGCCUGGGAGUACGGCGCAAGGCUG